UUUUUGGUCUGGACGUGUGGGUUGAGAACCUCAGGUUCGACUCGAGCACUUUAGUGCGAGAGAACAGGGGAGUGCAACGACACUGGCCCCGAAGUGGGCGAGCGUAGCGAGUCAUCCUAUACGUCCCACCA
rnacentral:sRNA from 1 species